rnacentral:rRNA from 1 species
UGGGGAAUAUUGGACAAUGGGCGAAAGCCUGAUCCAGCCAUGCCGCAUGAGUGAAGAAGGCCUUUGGGUUGUAAAGCUCUUUUAGUGAGGAAGAUAAUGACGGUACUCACAGAAGAAGUCCUGGCUAACUCCGUGCCAGCAGCCGCGGUAAUACGGAGAGGGCUAGCGUUAUUCGGAAUUAUUGGGCGUAAAGGGCGCGUAGGCUGGUUAAUAAGUUAAAAGUGAAAGCCCGAGGCUUAACCUUGGAAUUGCUUUUAAAACUAUUAAUCUAGAGAUUGAAAGAGGAUAGAGGAAUUCCUGAUGUAGAGGUAAAAUUCGUAAAUAUUAGGAGGAACACCGGUGGCGAAGGCGUCUAUCUGGUUCAAAUCUGACGCUGAAGCGCGAAGGCGUGGGGAGCAAACA